rnacentral:lncRNA from 1 species
AGAGAACAGACUAAGCAGCUUCCUUAGGGCUAUCCUGCUAGUUAAAUGGUCAAAGGUGGGAUUUGAAUCCAGAUCCCCUGACUCCACGUCAAGCACUUUCCCACUAUACCAUACCGCCUUUUAAAAGAAGCUAUAGAACCCCAUUGUCAUUUACUAACCAGUCUUCGGUACUCUCUGAGGACAUCACUAGCUUUGGAUCAAUAGAAAGAGGCAGUCAGUGGAGAGUCCCACCAUCAUUCCAAAGGCAGCUUCUCCAGCAUAGCUAAUGUAAUGAACUAUACCUACCAUUUGCAUCAGAUUUCAGUUAAUAAUAACUAACAUGUAUAUAAUAUUUAGUAUGUGUCAGGCACUUUGUAAUUUUUAUCCCUUGUGAUCCUCACAGUUGCUAUUAUUAUGCUCAUUUUACAAUAAACUGAUGCAAACAGAGGUCAAGUGACUUGCCCUGGGUUACACAGUUAGGAAGUAUUUGCAGCCUCAUUUGAACUCAAGUCUCCCCAGCAUUCUUCCCCCUGCAUCACCUCAUGGUUCUUUACCUAUAAUUUAAAAAAAAAUGACUGAUCUAGUAGAUAUUGAUACUAGGGGAAUGAUGGUAAUGGAGAAAUAUCAGAGAUGUAACACCAGGAAGUAAGCUAGGGAAAAGACUGACUCUUGAGCCCCUCCCCCUACACUACUUCCUGUUUCCUUUCAACAGUCUUAGAAAUAUGCUCCUCACUGAUGAUGCUUUUGUCGCUUCUAAAAAUCUUCAUUUACAUUCAACAACAUGAAAAGUGUUUUAAGGAAAGUGAAUUAUUCAACUCUGAAUCAGAACCUAAUAUUUCCCCCAGCUCUGUGAUUCUGCACAAACUACAUCCUAUGCCUGAAAUUUUCUCCCUGGCCUCUUACUCUUGGAAUCUAUAUCUCAAAGCUCGGGGUUCAGAGGUUCACAAACAUGCCAAAGAAAGGAGCUACACCAACUGGAUCCAAGCCAGGGAGGAAGCAGAGGCUGGUGGAGAAGUCCUCUACCCAGACAAUACAAUUAAAAUCACUGUAUGUGAGAUGAAGGAGCGCAAUUUCAAACCAGUGUGACUGUUAUAAAAAGAGGCACACAGUGUGAAGACAGGACACCAAAAGAAGGCUAUGGGACAAAGGCAUUUCCAUGGUUUACUUAGAAAGACUGACUUGGGGAUCCACAACUGAAAUGCCAUGUCUGGCCCCAAAAUGGAAAAUAAUUUUGAGUUACUGAAUAG